UUACUUCAGUAGCACGUAUAAUAAAAUUGGAACGAUACAGAGCAGAUUAGCAUGGCCCCUGUGCAAGGAUGACAUGCAAAUUUGUGAAGUGUCCCAUAUUAAA